UACGUAGGGUGCGAGCGUUAAUCGGAAUUACUGGGCGUAAAGCGUGCGCAGGCGGUUCUCCAAGUCCGUUGUGAAAGCCCCGGGCUCAACCUGGGAAUUGCAGUGGAAACUAGGGGACUGGAAUCUGGCAGAGGGGGGUGGAAUGCCGCGUGUAGCAGUGAAAUGCGUAGAGAUGCGGCGGAACACCGAUGGCGAAGGCAGCCCCCUGGGCUGAGAUUGACGCUCAGGCACGAAAGCGUGGGGAGCAAACAGG
rnacentral:rRNA from 1 species